UACGAAGGGGGCUAGCGUUGUUCGGAAUUACUGGGCGUAAAGCGCGUGUAGGUGGCGAGGCAAGUCGGGUGUGAAAGCCCUGGGCUCAACCCAGGAAGUGCACUCGAUACUGCCUAGCUAGAGUCCCGGAGAGGUUGGUGGAACUCUCGGUGUAGAGGUGAAAUUCGUAGAUAUCGAGAAGAACACCGGUGGCGAAGGCGGCCAACUGGACGGUGACUGACACUGGGACGCGAAAGCGUGGGGAGCAAACAGGG
rnacentral:rRNA from 1 species